AUUGAAACACCAGUUCCUGUACAAUCACCAAAGUUAAGCAACUUCGAGUCUAUUCAGUACUGAGAUGGUGACUACUUUGGAAUAUCAGGUGCUGUAAG